rnacentral:rRNA from 1 species
GCAGCGACGCCGCGUGGGGGAUGACGGCCUUCGGGUUGUAAACCCCUUUCACCAUCGGAGAAGCCUUGGGUUACCAAGGUGACGGUAGGUGGAGAAGAAGCACCGGCCAACUACGUGCCAGCAGCCGCGGUAAUACGUAGGGUGCGAGCGUUGUCCGGAAUUACUGGGCGUAAAGAGCUCGUAGGUGGUUUGUCGCGUUGUUCGUGAAAUUCCCUGGCUCAACUGGGGGCGUGCGGGCGAUACGGGCAGACUGGAGUACUGCAGGGGAGACUAGAAUUCCUAGUGUAGCGGUGGAAUGCGCAGAUAUCAGGAAGAACACCGGUGGCGAAGGCGGGUCUCUGGGCAGUAACUGACGCUGAGGAGCGAAAGCGUGGGGAGCGAACAGGAUUAGAUACCCUGGUAGUCCACGCCCUAAACGAUGCGAACUGGAUGUUGGGUACAUUACGGUACUCAGUGUCGAAGCUAACGCGUUAAGUUCGCCGCCUGGGGAGUACGGCCGCAAGGCUGAAACUCAAAGGAAUUGACGG